UAACCUGCCCAAGAGAUCGGGAUAACACCUGGAAACAGAUGCUAAUACCGGAUAUCAACGGAUGAUGCCUAUCAACUGUUUAAAAGAUGGUUCUGCUAUCACUCUUGGAUGGACCUGCGGUGCAUUAGCUAGUUGGUAGGGUAACGGCCUACCAAGGCGAUGAUGCAUAGCCGAGUUGAGAGACUGAUCGGCCACAUUGGGACUGAGACACGGCCCAAACUCCUACGGGAGGCAGCAGUC
rnacentral:rRNA from 1 species